UUAAAUUAUAAUUUCAAGUGCUCAAAAGAGCAUGUGCCUUAUAUGGAUUUAUUUUGAGGUGCUAGGGAAUCUCGUGAAAAUCGAGAGUGAGCCCGUCGCUGUAAUCAGGGACGUUUAGCGCAAAAUGUCACUGACGCAAGUUGGGAAGGCGUGCUAAGCGGAUGAUCUGAAAGCCAGAAGACCUGCUUGGAAUUAAAGUUUACA
rnacentral:ncRNA from 2 species